rnacentral:rRNA from 1 species
UACGUAGGGGCGAGCGUUGUCCGGAAUUACUGGGCGUAAAGAGCGUGUAGGCGGGUACUUAAGUCAGGUGUGAAAGACCGGGGCUCAACUCCGGGGUUGGCACUUGAAACUGGGUAUCUUGAGGGCAGGAGAGGAAAGCGGAAUUCCUGGUGUAUCGGUGAAAUGCGUAGAUAUCAGGAGGAACACCGGUGGCGAAGGCGGCUUUCUGGACUGACCCUGACGCUGAGACGCGAAAGCGUGGGGAGCAAACAGGAUUAGAUACCCUGGUAGUCCCUGAGCGGG